CGCCUGCGGGGUGGAAAUGGUGACGGAAUCCGGGCGGUGAGGUGAGAGGAAGGAAGGAAAAGGAAGGAAAAAAAAAUGUGGAGUAGGAGUGGCCGCCUCCGGCUUCUCUGGUGUUGAAAGCAGUUUCUGUCGGGAACCUCCACUUUUCCCGGUGGCAGUGAGAUAAGGAAACUGAGGUUUGGGGGAGAAAGCCGCCUCUCCCUGUCUCAUGGACGUAAUGCUGAGCAAGAGAGGAGAUAUGAAGGCUCAUUCACAUCUACCUUAAAGACAUCUCCUUCCCCGUUGGAUUAUAUUUCUUUUCUAAAUCCUAUGUGUUGAAAGGCAAUUGGGGUUAAGUGACUUGCCCAGAGUCACACAACUGUUUCAGCCACAGUGAGUGUAAGAAUUUGGAUUUGUCCUGACUAGUUAGAGCUUCAUGAAAUGAAAUCAGCUUUAGCUACAAGAUAACUCGUAUGUCUCAAGUCCUAUUUUCUCAUGAGGAAAAGCACUUCUCUACUACAGGGGAGGUUAUGGAUCCAACUAUGGUGAAAAAUGUUUCGAAAAGGCAAAAAGCGACACAGUAGUAGCAGUUCCCAAAGUAGUGAAAUCAGUACUAAG